CUUUACCUUGUGACAUACCUAUAACUGUUGCUUCGGCGGGUAGGGUCUCCGCGACCCUCCCGGCCUCCCGCCUCCGGGCGGGUCGGCGCCCGCCGGAGGAUAACCAAACUCUGAUUUAACGACGUUUCUUCUGAGUGGUACAAGCAAAUAAUCAAAACUUUUAACAACGGAUCUCUUGGUUCUGGCAUCGAUGAAGAACGCAGCGAAAUGCGAUAAGUAAUGUGAAUUGCAGAAUUCAGUGAAUCAUCGAAUCUUUGAACGCACAUUGCGCCCGCCAGCAUUCUGGCGGGCAUGCCUGUUCGAGCGUCAUUUCAACCCUCAAGCUCUGCUUGGUGUUGGGGCCCUACAGCUGAUGUAGGCCCUCAAAGGUAGUGGCGGACCCUCCCGGAGCCUCCUUUGCGUAGUAACUUUACGUCUCGCACUGGGAUCCGGAGGGACUCUUGCCGUAAAACCCCCCAAUUUUCCAAAGGUUGACCUCGGAUCAGGUAGGAAUACCCGCUGAACUUAAGCAUAUCAAUAGCCCGGAAGGAA
rnacentral:rRNA from 1 species